CCGAGUUUACAACUCCCAAACCCCUGUGAACAUACCACUUGUUGCCUCGGCGGAUCAGCCCGCUCCCGGUAAAACGGGACGGCCCGCCAGAGGACCCCUAAACUCUGUUUCUAUAUGUAACUCUGAGUAAAACCAUAAAUAAAUCA
rnacentral:misc_RNA from 1 species